rnacentral:rRNA from 1 species
UACGUAGGGGGCAAGCGUUGUCCGGAUUUACUGGGCGUAAAGAGCGUGUAGGCGGCCAAACAGGUCCGUUGUGAAAACUGGAGGCUCAACCUCCAGACGUCGACGGAAACCGUGUGGCUAGAGUCCGGAAGAGGAGAGUGGAAUUCCUGGUGUAGCGGUGAAAUGCGUAGAGAUCGGGAGGAACACCAGUGGCGAAGGCGGCUACCUGGACCAGCACUGACACUGAGGCACGAAAGCGUGGGGAGCAAACAGG